GUGAAUCUAACUUUAGCCACCGUAGAAACAUCGUAGUAAAUAAGAAUAACCAAUCAAAUUUGUUUUCACUGAUCACAUGAUACUAAUCUAUACAUUUUGUUUACCUUGUGAUGUAGAAAAAAGAUUUCAAAAUAAAUAUAAAUACAAACAAUAUGAUUAGAAAAUGUGGGGUUACGCGUCGUGAGUAGGUUAAGGUGUGUACCGCGCACCACCAAUUAGAAAGACUUCUAAAACGCCGCCAUAUUGAAUUAUUGGUCAAUCAGGAAAAAGCGCGCGAAACCAUGUUCAACGUUAAAUGAUUUCAUACAUAUAUCGUAAAUAUUUUUGUUUCAUUCAUUCAAUUAUUGAGGAAAUUCAGAUUUAUAAGGGAAUAUUUUUAGUUUAUACAAUGAAGUAACGAAAGAACUAGUUUAUAGUAUAUCCAAUAGAUGAAAAGAAUGGAAUUUUAUGAUAAGUAAACAAGUUUUUGUUAUAUAUUUUCUUCAAAUAUAAAACAUUAGUUUUG